rnacentral:rRNA from 1 species
AUUGAACGCUGGCGGCAGGCCUAACACAUGCAAGUCGAACGGUAACAGGAAACAGCUUGCUGUUUCGCUGACGAGUGGCGGACGGGUGAGUAAUGUCUGGGAAACUGCCUGAUGGAGGGGGAUAACUACUGGAAACGGUAGCUAAUACCGCAUAACGUCGCAAGACCAAAGAGGGGGACCCUCGGGCCUCUUGCCAUCGGAUAUGCCCAGAUGGGAUUAGCUUGUUGGUGGGGUAACGGCUCACCAAGGCGACGAUCCCUAGCUGGUCUGAGAGGAUGACCAGCCACACUGGAACUGAGACACGGUCCAGACUCCUACGGGAGGCAGCAGUGGGGAAUAUUGCACAAUGGGCGCAAGCCUGAUGCAGCCAUGCCGCGUGUAUGAAGAAGGCCUUCGGGUUGUAAAGUACUUUCAGCGGGGAGGAAGGGAGUAAAGUUAAUACCUUUGCUCAUUGACGUUACCCGCAGAAGAAGCACCGGCUAACUCCGUG